CUGAUCGGUCUACGGAAGUUUUGAUUGUGUUAUAAGUGUUAGAUAGUUAGAUACUGAAUACAUACUGCAAAAAGCAGAAUUUAAUUAGGAAUUAGGGAUACAUGGAGUGUCUGAUUGGAACAUUUCAAGAAUAUGGAAAUUGUUCAUGAACAAUUGGGAGUUACGUUAUCAUUUGCUGAUGAAAAUGCAAAUCAAUAGAUAUCUAUCGAUAUGAGUGAGAUACAAUUUUGGAAUAAUUCUUCAGGACCAGAUCUCAAGUGAUAUUGGACAAAUCAUUCAAGAACAGAAAAAAAGGAGCAACACAGAGGAAUGAAACCGCCAAGCCCAACUUGUUUUUGGUAUCUAUUAUAGCCGAAAAGUUUCCAAAUUGUUGUAUAGAUUUAGAUGAACUUUUAAGAAUGUAUCU